CCCUUAGAUGUUCUGGGCUGCACGCGCGCUACACUGAUGCGCUCAACGAGUUUUAACCUUGCCUGGAAAGGUUGGGUAAUCUUUUUAAAACGCAUCGUGAUGGGGAUAGAUUAUUGCAAUUAUUAAUCUUCAACGAGGAAUUCCUAGUAAGCGCGAGUCAUCAGCUCGCGUUGAUUACGUCCCUGCCCUUUGUACACACCGCCCGUCGCUGCCCGGAACUGAGCCGUUUCGAGAAGACUGAGGAUUGCUGACUUGAGGCCUUCACGGGCUUCUAGUCGGUGAAAAUCAAUUUAAUCGCAGCGGCUUGAACCGGGCAAAAGUCGUAACA
rnacentral:rRNA from 1 species